UACGUAGGGGGCAAGCGUUGUCCGGAAUCAUUGGGCGUAAAGCGCGUGUAGGCGGCUCGAUAAGUCUGCUGUGAAAGUCCAGGGCUCAACCCUGGGAUGCCGGUGGAUACUGUCGAGCUCGAGUCCGGAAGAGGCGAGUGGAAUUCCUGGUGUAGCGGUGAAAUGCGCAGAUAUCAGGAGGAACACCAAUGGCGAAGGCAGCUCGCUGGGACGUGACUGACACUGAGACGCGAAAGCGUGGGGAGCAAACAGG
rnacentral:rRNA from 1 species